CUUGCAAUGUCAUUUUCUUUCAACACUGUCUCAUCACUAGCAAAGGGCCGAGAAAUGGCAAACAGUAUUGUUCACGGAGACACAAAUAUCCACUUUUUUCACCUUGGACUUGCACUCUGACAUGACCAACUGCAGAGCCUUGUUGAGGAUCUCGGCGGCCAUUCUGGUACUUGGUGACAACAUCAAGAGAGGUGAGAUCCAACUCCUUAUCUAGAGAAGAGAAUUCUAGGGUUUUGUCGUUCUACAAGUAAAGACGGAGAGACAACGGCAGUGACAACGAGCGGCAGCAGGUGAAGGGCGACGAUCGACAUCCGUCAUGAUCGACAGCAUUAUCUCAGCCGCUCAAUCACGCCGGCGGCAUCAACGAUGAACAUGGUGUAAUGUUUGUAAAAUUCUUUUUCUUCAACUUUGACGGGUUGACUGAGCUUUUGGUGAGCGGGCCCCCCAUUGUUUGUCUCUUUGCCCUUAAAAACCGGAUCUUGAUGAGUGAAUUAUUGGCAUGUGGUGUUUUGUUUAGUUUUAAGGGGACCAGCUCAAGCUUGCUUGUUGUUGGCAUCUUCAGGAGGCUGAAUUUCCAGUUUUUUCUUCUCUUGAAGCUUGGAGUUGGAGGGAGAUUCUCUUCACCGGCGGAUCCUCGGAGAGAUUAGAGAUUAUUGUAGCGAGUCUUAGUUCGCGGGACUUGGUGAACCCAACUCUGUAGCUCGGAGCCAGGAGAAGAUCAAGUCUAGGAUGGGGGGGGGUGUCUGGGGAUCGUAUUGUCUGCUUUUAUCAAUAUCUCUAUAUUACCUUCUUAAGAGUGUAAGACUUGUAUUCUGACUGUAUUUGUAAUUUGCGAACUAUUGGGUUGUAUUUGUAUUCUAUAGGGCUGCUAAAGUCCGUACUUGUAGUAUUUCAGUUUCCAGUAUCCUAUUUGUGCUUUUGUGUUCUGUUCA